rnacentral:tRNA from 1 species
AGCGAGGUGGGGCAGCCAGGAGUGCCCGACGGGCUCAUAACCCGUAGGUCAGUGGUUCAAAUCCACUCCUCGCUA